rnacentral:rRNA from 1 species
CAAGAGCGUAUAUUAAAGUUGUUGCAGUUAAAAGCUCGUAGUUGGAUUUCUGGUACAACGCGCCUGGCCCGCUUACGUGAGUGCCGGUGCGCGUUUGCCAUCCUUCUAGAAAACGUCUCUACUCGGGCAACUGAGCCGGAUUCGCGAUCUAGAUCUUUUACUUUGAAAAAUUAGAGUGUUUAAAGCAGGCUAUUGCCUUGAAUACAUUAGCAUGGAAUAAUAAUCUAGGACUUCGGUUCUAUUUUGUUUGGUUUCUUAGUACUGAAGUAAUGAUUGAUAGGGAGUAGUUGGGGGUCGGAUUCGUAUUUAACUUAGUCAGAGGUGAAAUUACUUGGAUUUGUUUAAAGUAACGGACGUACUGCGAAAGACAUUUGUCCAAGGAUGUUUUCUAUUGAUCAAGAACGAAAGUUAGGGGA